CAAAGUAUUUCAAAACAAAAAAAGUAUUCCCAAACCAAACACUGCGAGACCCCUUUUCCCCAAGGAUCACAGGUAAAAGACACCCAGACCCGAAGCAACCAGCAAGACAAAGACACUGGCGACGUGUAAACUCAUGUCGUAGUCGCCUGUGGCUUCUCCAGCUGCGCACGAGGAGUCGGCAUUAUCAGCGAUCUCAUCGAUGAAGUCAGCUCGAGCGGUUGCAAAGCAAGCGAGGGUUAUAGCAAUGGGUUGAAGAGCUCCUUUUUCUGAUAACGAGAACCCCAUCAGAUGCUGUUGGUUGUGUUGAAGCUUUCUCGACAUGAUAAGGGGGUUGGGGCCUCUUCGUUUGACUCUAGUUCUUAUAAUACCGUUCGACCGUACAGGCGGCUGCCGGUAGGGCUUGCCCAUAAGGAUAAAGAGGGAGGGCUUGGUGAUGAUACAGAGUAUGAUUUUGCCCCCACCCUCCCCCCCCCCUCCCUGCGCUAUGUCCCCUCGUUCUCUAAAAAGGAGUCUGUGGCUGGUGGUAUUCGUCAUAAUAUCUGCUCCUCAUGACCGCCAACAGUAUUAUCCUUCCACAUACCUACAAUGGUUAAUGCCUAGUCAUGCCAGGGCAAGAACAAUCAGGAGGAAAGGGAACCAUUUGGCAAAAUGUGGCGGAAAGAAGUCUACCAUCUAAGAAGAGGUAGACCUGUACGGUAAUAAUAGUAGCAAGACGCCGAUCGUCUGCAGCUAUAUUUAUUCUUCCGAAGGUGUGCUGCAAGCGACGGAUGGAUGACGCGUUUUACGCAUUUUCUUCGAGUACCGAGCAGCGCACUUCCAUCGAUCUCGGGUCAUUUCACUUUACGGUAGUAUUUGAUCUUUCAUCGGGUUUUGUACACUAUCCUUUUGCAUGAUCCUUAACUAACACAGACACAAAUGGGAUAAAAUGAUAACUGAUGAUGCUGACAAAAAGGCCGUCGCAAUAGAAUGCACAAAAAGGACCAACAAAAAAGCAGGGAUAGGAUCACAUCUAGCAACGUGCAGCUUAUGGGCUAUAA
rnacentral:sRNA from 1 species